rnacentral:lncRNA from 1 species
UUUCAACUCCGAACCCUUCUUACGGGCUACGACCUCCUCGGCUUCUUGGACGGAUCGAAGUCGUGCCCACCAGCCACUAUCGUCGACAAGUGCCAUCAAUGCAUCGGCUCAGGUCCCACUCAAAUUGGAUUCCACUAAUUACCUGGCGUGGAAAUUCCAAUUUCGAACCCUUCUUACGGGUUACGACCUCCUGGGCUUCUUGGACGGAUCGAAGUCGUGCCCCCCAGCCACUAUCGUCGACAAGGAGGUGACUUCCCCCAAUCCAGCAUAUCCUUACUGGAUUCGCCAGGAUAAUCUCAUUCUCAGUGCCAUCAUCUCGUCGAUCACACCGAUGAUCAUCUCCUUUAUUGCCGUUGCGGAAACCUGUAAAGAGGCCUGGUACAUCCUCGCGCGCACAUACGGUACUGCUUCUCGUGGUCGUAUCAUGGCUCUCAAACAGCAGCUCCAUAAUCCGGUAGUAGGUUCUAAAUCUGUUACUGAUUCUAUGUACGGCACUCGCGUG